UUGACGCUGGCGGCUGGCCUAACCAUGCAAGUCGAGCGGAAACGAUCCUAGCUUGCUAGGAGGCGUCGAGCGGCGGACGGGUGAGUAAUGCAUAGGAAACUACCCAGUAGUGGGGGAUAGCCCGGGGAAACCCGGAUUAAUACCGCAUACGUCCUACGGGAGAAAGCAGGGGCUCUUUGGACCUUGCGCUACUGGAUGUGCCUAUGUCGGAUUAGCUGGUUGGUGAGGUAACGGCUCACCAAGGCGACGAUCCGUAGCUGGUCUGAGAGGAUGAUCAGCCACAUCGGGACUGAGACACGGCCCGAACUCCUACGGGAGGCAGCAGUGGGGAAUAUUGGACAAUGGGGGCAACCCUGAUCCAGCCAUGCCGCGUGUGUGAAGAAGGCUUUCGGGUUGUAAAGCACUUUCAGUGGGGAAGAAAGCUUAUCGGUUAAUACCCGGUAGGGGUGACAUCACCCACAGAAGAAGCACCGGCUAACUCCGUGCCAGCAGCCGCGGUAAUACGGAGGGUGCAAGCGUUAAUCGGAAUUCUGGGCGUAAAGCGCGCGUAGGCGGCGAGAUAAGCGAGAUGUGAAAGCCCCGGGCUCAACCUGGGAACGGCAUUUCGAACUGUCUGGCUUAGAGUGUGGUAAAAGGGUAGUGGAAUUUCCAGUGUAGCGGUGAAAUGCGUAAUAUUGGAAGGAACACCAGUGGCGAAGGCGGUACCUGGACCACCUGACCUUAGGUCCAAAGCUUGGGAGCAAACAGAUUAACC
rnacentral:rRNA from 1 species